AACGAACGCUGGCGGCAGGCUUAACACAUGCAAGUCGAACGCAUCCUUCGGGGUGAGUGGCAGACGGGCGAGUAACGCGUGGGAACGUGCCCUUCAGUUCGGGAUAACCCAGGGAAACUUGGGCUAAUACCGGAUACGUGCGAGAGCAGAAAGAUUUAUCGCUGAAGGAUCGGCCCGCGUCUGAUUAGCUAGUUGGUGGGGUAAUGGCCCACCAAGGCGACGAUCAGUAGCUGGUCUGAGAGGAUGAUCAGCCUCACUGGGACUGAGACACGGCCCAGACUCCUACGGGAGGCAGCAGUGGGGAAUAUUGGACAAUGGGCGCAAGCCUGAUCCAGCCAUGCCGCGUGGAUGAUGAAGGCCUUAGGGUUGUAAAGUCCUUUUAACGGGGAAGAUAAUGACGGUACCCGUAGAAUAAGCCCCGGCUAACUUCGUGCCAGCAGCCGCCGUAA
rnacentral:rRNA from 1 species